UUGAAAUAUUUAUUUCAUAAUAAUUAUUUAGGUAUUUUAUUUUUUUAUUUAAUUACCAUGCCUAACUACUAUUUCCUUACAACCCUGUUGUAUUUAUUUCAUAUCAUACAGUUCAAUGCUCUCAGGAUACAUCGUAAUAAAUAAUAAAUAAAACAUUAAUAAACAAUAAUAAUAUUAAUAGCCAAUGCACAUUAUUCUGACUAUAAGAGAUCACAUGUUCAAAAUGUAUGGCAUUAAUAAAAUCAUAAAAGAUUGUGUUAGCAUCAGUAAUUGUAUGGAGAAUUUAUGAAAAAUAUACCAGUUUAUAACAUCAUUGGUGAUAGCCUAGUGGUUAGGACGUCCGCCUUCUAAUCGGAGGUUGGGGGUUCGAUCCCGGGCACUCACCUCUAACUUUUCGUAGUUUGUGUGCGUUUAAAGUAAUAAAAUAUCACUGCUUUAACGGUGAAGGAAAAUAUCGUGAGGAAACUUGCAUGCCAGAGAGUUCUCCAUAACGUUCUCAAGGAGGAAACCCGUGUUCUGUAGUGAGUGAGUGAUGAUGAUGAUGGAUUUCAUUGGCUCUAUUAUUACCGUUGCACCUACGUGCUAAUUGUAAUAAUCACUGUUAAUAAUUAUAUUUCAAAUUAAGAGGGGAUAACAAGAAUGCAAGAACACACUAUCCUGCAAUAUCCUUAAAAAUACAUAUUUUUUUCAAAUGUCACUAAUAAAAAUUAGGAAAGUCUUUGGAAAUACAAUGAAGUUUAACCAAUGCGCAAUGUCACAAAAUAAAUAGAAUAAAUUCACAUUUAUAUAAUGCCUAAAUAUACCUACUCUAUAUUACAAGCUUUAUAACAUUGAAAUUCUAUUUUUCAAUAACUUAAAAUAUAUUAUUUUCUAUCGCUAUUAUCAUAUGGUUUGAAUACAAACAUAAGAGCCUUCACUAUCAAAAACGUAUUGCUGUUUGUAGGUACAUUGCAAAAAAUACGCAUUUAUUUUAUAUAGUUGUAGAAUAAUCAUGUGAACAAUUUGUAAAUUUUUAUGAGUAAGGGCCAAGGUAUUUUAUUUUUUAAGUCUCGUGAAAUUGACGUAGGUACCUACUUACGUAAUAAAUAAUUGAGAACUAAUAAAUAUCUAUACUAAAUAAACUUUUACUAAAUAAGUAUUCUUUCGAAUUUUUUCGAAUAAGUAAAUAACUAUAAUAAUUUAAAGUAGACCGACUAGGUAAAAAGAUUUUAGGUAAGUAUUCUUCAAUAAAAAAAAUCUCACUUACACACAGAACAAGAAACAAGCUGGCAAUAAGAUAUACAUGAUUUAAAAGAAGAAAUAAGCUAUUAUAUCACAAACGCAGAAACUACUAAUUUUCCGUUUAUAACUAAAAGGAAGCAUUGGAAUUAUAAAGCCUAUUAAUUGGUAUUCAUUUACUCAUAGUCUUACACUAAUGUUAUAUUUACAUUUACAAUUGUCUAGUUAACUAGUAUAUUAUUGCAAUACUUGCAAUUGACAAUAAGUUAAAUAAAUACACUCUAGUCAACA